rfam:Schistosoma mattheei strain Denwood, Zambia genome assembly, scaffold: SMTD_scaffold0000281
GCACUUCUGAGGAGUCCCACAAUAGGAUGAAACGGUCGUUCAGUGC